UCAGUUGGUAGAGCGGAGGACUGUAGUG
rnacentral:piRNA from 1 species